UAAGAAGGGUGCGAGCGUUAAUCGGAAUUACUGUGCGUAAAGCGUGCGCAGGCGGCUUUGCAAGACAGAUGUGAAAUCCCCGGGCUCAACCUGGGAACUGCAUUUGUGACUGCAAGGCUAGAGUACGGCAGAGGGGGAUGGAAUUCCGCGUGUAGCAGUGAAAUGCGUAGAUAUGCGGAGGAACACCAAUGGCGAAGGCAAUCCCCUGG
rnacentral:rRNA from 1 species